AAAAGGAAAAACAUAGACGUGGUAAGAACAUUUUUAUAGCCUUUCAUAUUUUAGAUCAUCCCUUUCUAAAAAGGAAGAGGUUGUGUUUGAUAACACAAGGCAUGUCUUGCAUUAGCUAUGAUGAAGCAAAUUAAGCUACAAACCAUCAAGUCCUCAUCAAUGUAGCCCAGAGGUAGUGGGGCUGAAAUAACACUUAGGAGCUUAAAAUCUGCUCAAUUCUUUUCUUAGUUUCUUCUGCCGUCACUUUCUGAGCAACGUGUCUACACUCUUUUCUACUUUCCUCCCUUCCUAAUGAGAGCUCCUCACCUCUUGUUAGUGGCUAGAUGAGUUUGACGUCAGACACAGCUGGAUUCUUAACAGGAUUACAGUUCCCCUGGCUGUGCCGCUUUGGCCUACCUACACCCCUACUGCCUGCACCGCAUUCCUGCCUGCCACACGGCAUCUUUACCCAUAUACCCUGCUGAUACAGUCUUAAAGUAAAACAGGUGUGUUUUCAAAAAAUAAGCUCUGCAGUUGCUCAUUAUUUUCUUUAAUGCUGUCUUUACUGGAAUAUGUUUCUCAAAUUAAUGAUCUGUACCUUGCAUUGAGUGAAAAGUCAACUUGUCUUUUUCAAAAAUCUCAAAACAAAACACGAUUCAAGUGCUGUGCUUAGGUGAUUAAUGUUCUGUUUUUGAAACACAUUUUAAGUCUAAUAAUCAUAAUGUCUUUCUUCCAAUUUUCACGCAGUAGAGGCAGAGCUUCCCAGUCAUAAGUGACACUUCACAGAUCAUUCAUUUUUGGUAAAUUUGACUAAAAUUUGAACAAUUUUGGAGUGUUCAAAGAGCCAAAGUUAAUUUUUUAACACACAUUAGCAACCUCCUGCAGGUCACCUUCUCUCCUGUUCUAUCACUGUCCAUAGAUAUCCUGUCUUCAGUCACAGCUUUAGGAGAGAGCCCAAGGACCUGGCUGCCAACAUUAACUCCCUGCUGCACAUUCUUCCCAGCACUGCUGAUCUACUAACGUCUACUUACAUCACGUUUUUCUACCUUGUGCCUGGCAGUUCAGCCAACUAAAUUUUUUCCCCCAUAAUGAGCAUAACCAGUGUGCCCUUCAAUCCCCUUUUAAACCAUGCUGUGGUAUCAUAACAGCUUGUGCAGCUGCAACCUGCUUCAAAUCCAAUACAAUACAUUACACUACAAUUUGUUUGACCCAGAAGUUACUCAGGCUCUGUGUUGCUACAGCCGUGUUUAUAGCAACAGUUGAAGCAGAGCACAUUUUUCAAAGCUACUAACCACCAGGGAAGGCUGGACUAUGUAAAGGGGCCGACACCGCAUAAGCGUCUAGCUGGCCGGCUGGCUGAUUGAUUGGCACACUGUUCUUAGCCAUUACAUUACACCACCAUGACUCAACCACAGAACCAUCCCAGUUAACACUUGCAAUGUCCCAGUGGUGUAGAGUUGCACCAAGUCCCUCAGUGAAGGAGACCAGCACUCUGUUGCGAAAAGUUGAAGAGCAGAGAGCAGAGCAAGAGAUCUGAGGACAUCACCUGGAGGACCAACAAUGACGCUGUGUACAAGAGGGGCAUUUCCUAAUUUCUUAGGAAGCUUAGAUCUAACAAUAUAUGUAGGAAGAUGCUGGAGAUCUUCUACCAUCUACUGUGCUGUGCUGCGUUGCACUUUACAACAGCCCACCUCUAUGUGACAGUUAUCUUCAGUAUGCAACCAGUCGUCUUACCCAGAUGUCAAGCUGCGGGCCCUCAUACUGCUGUCCCUCAAAAACCUCUGGAGCAGCAUAAGGCGGGCUGCCGCACCAUGUGGCCAGAGGCUCCCCAGGCUGGAAGAAAUUCCCAAAUCCAAAAUCUACAUAACACAGAACACCAGAGGUUUGCUCCGUUGAUGUCAUGUGCGUCUGAGCAUCAAACACGAUUUAUCAACAGAAUGUGAUCACUGUAUUUGUUUUUGGAGCAGCAGGAUCCAGAUCUGCCACUACAACACUCAUUAUCAUCAUUGUGUAUACUACUGUCCAUGGUCUCUCUCUCUCUCUCACUCUCUCUCUUUCUCCUCCCUCAACCCCUCUUUCUGCUCUCGAACCCAACCAGUCAAGGCAGACGGCCUCUCACCAUGAACCUGGUUCUGUUGGAGGUUUCUUCCUUUUCGCCAAAUGUUCGCUCCUUGUAGGAACUGUUGGGUUUCUCUCUAUAACAAAAAAGGUCUUGACCUUACCCUGUAAAGUGCUGUGAGAUAAUGUAUAUUGUGAUUUGGCACAGUUGAAUUUAAUUGAAUAUAAUCAGAGAUAAUAAAGGAAUAGCUGCUAGGAAAAAGUCUCCGUCUACUUUCAUUUCAUGGUAUACUGUAUGUAAUAUAUGUCAUAUUGUACAACCACAGUGUUUUCCUUUUGUUUCUUUAAAGAACAAUCCAUGUGUAUAGAUGUAAAAGUAGUUAGAAACUGUUUCUCCACCAACUCUACUUGAUCUGGAGAUUGUUUGUACUCACUACAUUGUUUAAUUGAGCAUGAAACACCUUUCAAGUUUGGCGAAUUUCCAAUGGCAUCACUGUGUUGAUGGCUUCAACCUUGAAAAAUUCAAAUAUAGUUAAUGAAGCUAUAAAUGCCUGGUGACGGUUUCAUGAUAUGAGACAACUUACAACAUAUCAGAUAUUGUUUUUGAAAGUGGUUCUCCUAGGUUCUCUUGGUCACAUAGGUUGCCCUCCUCGCUUCCACUGAUCCAGCAACUUGCUUUUGUUUUUGUUAUUUCUCCUCUGCAAUUUCCAUUCCCUUCAAUCUGUCAACUUGAACGUAAAGAGGCUGUUUGAAGUGAAAACAUGAAGGGCACCCCCUGCUGCUGCUGUUCCCCUCUCCGCUGCAGCCACCAUGAGCAUGACCUUUCUUUGACUGACCACUGCCUGGUUAAGCUUCAUACAGACUGACCAGUGGUGGCCUUUAAAAAGCAGGGAGGCAUAACUGGAUUGCAGAAAAACCCCUGAAGCAUAGGUACUCUGUCUGCCCAUGCAUAUUCAGACUAGUGCUGCAACGAGAAACAGAAAACUAAUUGUAAAUUUUAAUAAUCAACUGUUCAUCAAUCAAAAAUGACCAAAUAUUCAUUGGUGCUAUUCAAGUUCACAAAUGUGAGAAUUUCCUGCUUUUACUUGUUAAAUAUCAUUGUAAACUGAAUAUCUUUGGAUUUUGGACUCUUUGUCAACAAGGCUGAGUUAAUAAUAUAUGAAACAUUUAAAAUAAAUAUACCAAAAAGUGUCAAACGCAACAUUAAAAUAAGAUAAAAUAUGGGAAGCAUAACAGGAAUAUAAUUUUAAAUAAAGUUGAAUGGAAUUAAAAUAUUCAAACGAUUAAAUAAAAGCAAGGAUAUAGACUUUUUUUUUUUUUUUAAAAAGCAAGAUGAAAAAGGUGAUAAGAUGAUUUUUUCUAGAAAAAAAAGGAGAUGUGAGUCAAUGGGCCUAGACAAAACAACUACCAAAAUACCUGAACAGUCCAAUCCAUUUCUUGUUGUUAGUUACAGUCCUAUCCAAUUUGCAUUUAAAGUCUAAAAAUAAUCAACAGAUGAAUGAAAAUGAAAAUAACUAUUAGAUGAAGCUCUAGAUGCAGAUUAGCCCUGCAUGAACACAGACAGACAUGGAAAUCUUUACUCCUCUUGGUUGAAUGGAUGACUGCUCUAAACUGACAUCAAUGUGACUAAUGCAGUUGGAAAAUUUGAAGUCGGGACCUUCUUUCUCACGUACAGUAUGAAUCUGACAUGUUUUCUUCAUGUACCAUUUACUAAACAUGUCAGAGAACAUAAUGGGUAAAAGAGGUACAAAAUGUACUUUGCUGCUGAUGUUCUCCCUAGAGAAGUUUUCUCUAAUCAUAAGCCAGGUAAUGUUCUGUUCAUUGUUUUUCUGCUUCAAAUCUAAUCUGCCGUGCGGACAAUCGGCUGUGAGUCAGACAUGUUUGUGAAAAUUACUGCUGGGGUAAUAACAUCUCCAGGUUAUCAUCUUGGACCCUUCUGAGAAACAGUGGACAGGAUGAUGCGAGCAAUGAUGCAGGCGGAACAUUCGGUUCUCUAUCAGUUAUUGUACAGUUCUGUCUAAUUUGCCCUCAUCUGAUUUUAGCUCUUAGAACAAAUAAAUGAAGGUUAACUGGGGUGAGCAUCUGUCAGUUUCCCUCCAUGAAGUAACAUUUAUCAGACCAAUAAACAAUGAUUUUAUUUCGUCUAUUUGAAGGUCAUGAUGUGAAGUCCUUUGAGAACAAGAGGGCAUUUUCCCUGAAGCACACAAACUCAAUGUUUCUGGUAUCCAUUCACACCUUUAUUUUUAGCCAUCCUCAAGUGAUCAGCUCACCUUAGAUGUAUUUCGGUAUCAGCUCUGAAUAAAGCCUAAGAUAAACCUUGGCCUUUUUCAGAGCAUUGCCACAGCUGCAGCUCUGCCACCCUGCUAUGCACUGGUCCUCAUUAUUCUUCCUUCAUCCUCUCAUCUGUUACUCUGUCUCCCAAAUAGCCAAUGCAUUUUUUCACCUCCCCUCCUCCUCCAAUUAAACCCAAACUCUUUCCUUCCACUCCCUCCCAGCCUCCCCCUUCUCCACUCUUGGACACAGCAGUAGGGUGAUAUUCUCACUAGCCAGCUCUAAAUGCCAGUUGCUUAAUAAUCACACUUUGAAGCUUGUACUACAGACCUCCAGCUUACUCUCAAAUCUCUGCCUCUGGGUCUGUUCCUCUUUUUGUCCUUUAUCUUUAAUGUUUCCACCUCAAAAUUAAAGCAAGGGGUCACUGGGGAGGGAUUUUUUAUCUCCUCUGAUCAUCAGUUUUGAAAAGGUGGCACAAUCCUUUCCUCUAGCUUGAGAUUUUUAGAUGUCCGUCAUGGCAUCUUUCAGCCAACAGCUAUCUCGCAAGCAACCUCAGACCACUUCUCAACAUUGUGCAAAUGGCCUGGGCAGGCGGUUAAGACAUUUCAGAACUACACCAGCAAAGAGAUCAUGACAGGCAAUGGAUCAAAACUAGAUCAUUCCAUGCAGACAUCCAGUAUUUCU